UUGAACCAGGCAUACAUACUUAAAGGUAGUCUCUAUGGGGAUUUUCAGUCAUCCAGGUCAUGGUUGUCCCAAAGGUGCUUUUUUCCAAGAGGCAACUGGACUUUCUGAUUUUUCUUUGAAGAGGUUUCACUUCUCACCCAAGAAGCUUCUUCAGCUCUUAAAGGCACCAGGUCUUAUUUUCGGGGAGGAUGUCAUCCACUGACUCACCUCACUUGCGCCUGUCGUCCCAGGCUUCCUUUUUGCUGUCAGAGAUGCUGAACCAAUAAUUUCAUACGAUGUCGGAUUUGAAUAAUUCUCAGCAGCGGAAAUUUCAACGCUUCAAACCCAAAUUGAGACAAGUUUCUGUCACAGAAAUACAUCACUAUUUCCUUACAUGCUCCAAUAAUCCAAGAUCGUUUGAGGCAGGCUAUUCCUGUUCAGUUAUCAAGCUCAAAUUAUUCUACUCCAGGCACAUUAUACAAAACUUAAUUGACUUAGAAGAUUUUAAUGCUGGGAAAGAUGGAAAGAAAGAGAGGUAGAAGACAACUACCAGCAGCAAGGUGGAUAGACUUCUAGUGGCAAUCAUUUUCAUCAUAGAGAAACUCUAUCUAUUUGGAUGCCAGGAGUCAAAAAUGACUUGAUUGCACAUAAUCAGUCAAUCAAUCAAUGAACCAACCAACCAACCAACCAAACAAACAAACAAACAAUUCCUGCUAAAUUCAUGUCUUAAGACAUACUAUUUUCUUUAAUAAAUGGAAAGUUUUCAGUUUCAUAAACAUUUCUAUGUUGUUCAUGUAUCUUAGAACAGGAUCUAAACUAUAUUAUUUUAUGAUAACUUAUGAUACAUAUAUGACUGAUCCCACAUUUCAGCUUAAAGUGGCAUGCACUUCUUUCCCUAAUUUUUGCACCUCACGGUAGAGUCGAUCUUGCAGUCAGAAUAGUACAUUAUAAUUCAUAAGAUUACACCACUGCUUCUCUAGAAGUCUCUGAACUUUAAAGUUGUAAUGGUUUUUAUCUUUUUAUUUUUCUAAGAUUAUUUUUUCUGGAAUAAAACCAGAAUUAUUUGAGUAAAAUUUAUUUUUUCUUCUCUAAGAGAAUCAAUCUGAUGGUUAUUUUGUUUCAGAUGCUAAACGUUGGUACUCUUGCUUUGCAAUUUUGAUGUUUAACCUUGACUUGACAGCAGGUUGUUCAGAACAUAGAGAUAUAUUUGAUAGUUUUAUAGUAAUAUCCUGAGAAGUAAUGUUGCGGUACUGUAUAAUUUAAAAUGGAAAAAGACAUGAAAUAUUAAAGUAAUAGGUCUGGUUAGAAAUAAUUUAAUUAGUAAAAUGGUGCUCAGAGCUUUUCAUUUUUAAAUAAUAGAACAGGCCUAGUCAUGCAGCAGAAUGGAGCAAUCUAGUUCACAUUGCCCGAAACAGGAAGGGAGGAAUAAAAGAAAGAAGGAAGGAAUUUAAAUGAACAAGACUGUUUAAUGUUAAUAGUGAUGACAGUUAGGAUGUCAUUUUCAAGUUUUAAAAAGUUUUGGGCCUCCACUGACAAUAAAAUAACGUCAAACUCUUGUCAGUCUUCCAAAUAGCCAUGCUGAGACGCAGGUUGGAGAAGGCUUAACUAUAAGCAAUUGAAUAUAGUGGUGUUUAAAAGUUUGUGAACCCUUUUUAAUUUUCAGUAUUUCUGCAUCAAUACAACUUAAAACAUGAUCUGUUCUCCACACAAGCCCUAUAUUUCGAUAAGGAGAACCCAAUUAAGUAAAUGAGUCAAAAACAUUAUACUUAUUCAUUGAUUUAUUUAGGAAAAUAAACCGAAACUACGUAUCCAUGUGUGGCAAAAAUAUGUGAACCUCCAGGAUUAUCAGUCCAUUUAAAAGAGAAAUUAAGAGUCAGGUAUUUUAAAAAGGGAUGCAGUGGCUCAGUGACUAAGAAGCUGAGUUUGUAGAUAGAAAGGUCGGCAGUUCAGUGGUUCGAAUCCCUAGUGCACGUAACGGGGAGAGCUCCCGUUACUUGUCCCA